GCCUCCCACACCAUGCGGCCUGGCCACGCCCCCCAUGCCAAGACACCUCCUCCCAGGGCAGCAGCAGGUCGCCAGGCCAUGCCCUCCGCAUGCAACAGUGUUCCAUUCUGUGGUAUGGACCGCCUGUUCGCAGCAGGAACCAUUUCUGUGAAGAAGAAAGAAUGAGAGGGGAGGGGAAAACUUUUGCUUUUGGCAGCACAGAAGACCACACAGGCUGUAGCUGAUGUACCUUCUCCCUAGAAAGGGUGGUGGCAAAAAUUCAAGAAAAGCAUUAUUAGGCAAGAUGAAUGAGGAACACCCACUGAGGCACUGUGUGAGGGUGUUUUCCCCUCUUGUCACCCUGACUGCCUUGCAUUUUGCUUACCAAAAUAGCCAACCACCAAGCACUUUUUCCUUGCUCUCCAGAGUUCAGUUCAUUGGCAUCAACACUUCAUGUAACACAAAGGGAUUGAGCAAGCUGAAUAUUUUUCAUUGAAUAUCAGGCAGCAAUGCAAGACAUUUGUUUUACAUUAUGAAUUACAAAGACAAAAGUUAUGACCACAGACUACAUAUCUUUAAAGUGGGUUAGAAGACCAGUUACGAUAGAUCUGUCUUGUGAGCUAACGGAAAGAAGGCUAGAGAAAAUGACAAAAGUUAAAGGAAAACGAGAAAAGAGUCUCCGAAGCACAGAUGGGAAGUCAAACAGCAUUUCAUUUUUUUAAAUUAAUUUUCUUUUUCUUUUUCUUUUCUUUUUUUACUUCUUCUCUUUGUUUCACUCUGUCUUUCUUCUCACCAUUCUUUACUACUUGGUUUUUGUUCUCCCACUUUCACUGUAUCUAUACUUACAAGAAAUAAAAAAAAAUUAUUAUGAAAAAAAAAUAAAGUGGGUUAGAAGACACUGAACAAGUUUAAGUGUUCUUAUACUCUCGCUCAGUCAUGAACCAAGGACCUCGUCACAUUAAUGGGGUCCUCUGGAUUACUUUGCCAGUCCCUGUGGCAAAUUGGGGGGCAGCGGGGCAAUCCUGGCACCCCGGACCCUGUCUCACCACCAGCUAAUGCCUCCCCAUCACACGUGGUGAAGCGUUGCCAUGUGGCUUCUCCCAUAGUAGCCCUGUUGUUCCUAAUGGACCAUGGUAUCCUUCUGGGUUGCCUGGCUGGGAUGGGACUUGGUGGCAUUGUUCUACAGUUGCUCUGGUCCUUCCUGGAAGGACGGACCCAGAAGGUGGCAUUAAGGGAUGCCGGCCUGACCACAUGGCCAUUGUCCUGUGGGAUCCCCACAGGGUUCUGUACUUUCCCCUAUUUCAUUUCUACAUGAAACCAUUGAGAGAGAUCAUUCAGAAUUUUGGAGUAUGGUGCCACCUGUAUGCAGAUGACACCCAACCCCUAUUACUCAUUUCCACCAAAAGCCAAGGAAGCCGCCCAGGCCCUGAACUAGUGCCUGGCAGUUAUAAUGAACUGGAUGAGGAGAAACAAAUUGAAAUUGAAUCCAUACAAGACAGAGGUACUCCUGGUCAGUUUUAAGAUAGAUCAGGGUAUUCUGUGGCAACCUGUGUUGGAUGAGGUUACACUCCCCUUGAAAUCUCAGGUCCACAGCUUGGGGAACCUCCUGAAAUCAGCACUAAACCUGGAUGCCCAGGUGUUGGCAGUGGCCAGGAGAGCCUUUGCACAAUUAAACUUGUGCACCAGCCAGACUUGGCCAUUGUGGUCCACACCUUGGUUACAUCCAUCUAGACUACUGUAAUGGGCUCUAUGUGGGGCUACCCCUGAAGAGUACCUUCCUAACAAUUCAUCUAAAGAGCUGCAGCCAGGCUACUCACAAGUGCUGGGCCCAGGGAGCACACAACUCCUCUGCUACAGCACUCUCACUGGCUGCCAAGUUGUUUCUGAGUCUGAUUCAAAGUGCUGGUUUUGUCUGCUAAAGCCCUAAAUGGUUCAGGUUCCACUUACUUAUCAGACCGCAUCUCCUCAAACCAACCUGCCCACUCCUUAAGAUCGUCAUAGGAGGCCCUGGUCUCACUUCUGCCGCUGUCCCAAAUGUGGUUGGUGGUGAGGAGGGAGAGGGCCUUCUCAGUGGCCACCCUGAGCCUGUGGAAUACCCUCCCCAAAGAAAUUAAAACAGCUCCCCUCCUUUCUUCGUUUAAGAAACAGUUAAAACCCUUUCUGUUAAGACAGGCCUUCAGUGAAAAAAAUUAGUCUGAAGUGCCAGAAAAUGCCAUAACGUUAUUGAGUGGAGUGAAGUGCAGUAUAACCUGACAUGAUGCCACAUGAAUGUAUAUUGUUUUUAUAAUUGUUCAUUUUAAGAUGCUUUUAUAUUUAUUAUUUGUUUUAUUGGUCUGGACAUAUAUAUUUGGAUUGUUGUCUGUAUGACAUUAAUAUGUUGUAAGUUUUUUUGGGUCCCGUGCGGGGGGAAAGGGGGGAUACAAAUAAAGAUUUAUUUAUUA